GCAGAAGAACUGUGGCUCAUAUCAUGUUUGGAGCACACAAAAGCAAAGAUGAGGAUUACAGGGCUACUUGUCAUUGUCAUUGCAGGAGUGAUGGGGCAGAAUACUGUAGACCAGCCCAGCCAUCAAAAUGUUAUAGAAGGGCAUCCUUUUCAAAUCAACUGCUCCUAUAAAGGCACAGAGAGGACUUUGCAAUGGUAUCGGCAGAAUCAUGACCAAUCACCACAAGCACUGCUGUUAUUAUCCAGUACUCGUUACAAAUCAGAAAAUGAUUUUACUAUGUUUCUGGACAUAACCAGCAAGUUCACCUUUCUGUACAAGAACACAACUCAGAUGGAAGAUUCAGCAGUAUAUUAUUGUGCACUUGAUGCACAGCAGUUUAGUCUCAUAGGAGUAGAGUACAAUAUCCUGACGCAAGGCACAAGAUCCCUGUUAAAUGUUGAACUGCUUUGUGUUUGAAUGACAUCAGAAAUCUGCUUGUGAAAUGAAAAAUUGGAAACAUAAGUGAUCAAGCCUUGACUGCUAGG